rnacentral:rRNA from 1 species
UACGUAGGGACCAAGCGUUGUCCGGAAUCAUUGGGCGUAAAGAGCGUGUAGGCGGCUUGUUAAGUCUUGCGUGAAAUCUCGGGGCUCAACCCCGAGCGGUCGUGAGAAACUGGCAGGCUAGAGUGCGGAAGAGGCGAGUGGAAUUCCCGGUGUAGCGGUGAAAUGCGCAGAUAUCAGGAGGAACACCGGUGGCGAAGGCGGAUCUCUGGGCCAUUACUGACGCUGAGGAGCGAAAGCGUGGGGAGCGAACAGG